CAGCACAUUCUCUUGCGAAGAAAAAAGGUUACUCUCCAUCCCACCCCUGCGAAAGUGGAUGUCAAGCGAAGCUGUUGAAAACCACUACUACAAAUGCUGAGGUAGGUAUGUAGUGCUUUAUUGCUUUAGAGAAAUGGCAGUAAUGGGAGUAAUGGUAAUUUUGACAGCAUGCUGCUCCCAUAGCGUUGCUGCUAGAAUACUGCAAUGAGUUGGUAGGCUGGUUCUUUUAUAUAUGAGAGCCCAGGGAUGUCUCUUGCCACGCCGCAAGCUGCCGUCGGUGUGGUCGCUUGCGCAACAGUAAUCUUGACCGGGAACGUAUGCGGGCAGAGCUACGUGGUUAGCAGUGUUAUGUGGAGCGCCUUGUCAUCAAUUAUGUGCUUUCGAGGAUUGUUCUGUGCUUGUUUUUUUUAUUGAAACCGUUGCUGUUUUGUGUGUAAUAUGCGUGAUUGCAAAGAAUGUAUGCAUUGUUCGCUCCACUUUGCUGACUGCUUGAAUCCUCUUCCUUAAGAAGGUACUAGCCACUGCGGCGGGCCCUGCACUUCCACCGGGUUCUGCCCAUAUUUUGCCGAUGCCGAUCAAAAUGCCGAUCAACUAAAGGUUGACAGCUUCGCUGUAAACAUUGUCCCAAUCGCUCACAGCGAGGCACCGCCGUGUGCAUUUCCAUUUGCACCACCGACCAGCCAUCCGCUCUAUCACCCAAACAGUGCUGCCACCUAUAGCCUGAUCUCGGAGCCAAUAUGUUAAGAAUGCUAACCAUGUGUUCAUUUUACCUGGCCCUGGGUUUUCUCUUCCUUGGUUUCCAGUGCUGCGUGCUUGGUUACAAAAAUCCACCUACACUAGAAGGGCCAUCCUGCUCAUCAGCUGGCUGCUACGGUGGCAAUCGGCCUGCCUGCUUCCAUAAUGCUACCUAUUGCACGUGCGCAUGUGGUAAGAAUGCCACAGCUAAAGACAACGUUGAAAAGUCUCAUUAUGUAUAGCGCC